rnacentral:rRNA from 1 species
AACGAACGCUGGCGGCAUGCCUAACACAUGCAAGUCGAACGAGACCUUCGGGUCUAGUGGCGCACGGGUGCGUAACGCGUGGGAACCUGCCCUUAGGUUCGGAAUAACUCCCCGAAAGGGGUGCGAAUACCGGAUAAUGUCUUCGGACCAAAGAUUUAUCGCCUUUGGAUGGGCCCGCGUUGGAUUAGCUAGUUGGUAGGGUAAAAGCCUACCAAGGCGACGAUCCAUAGCUGGUCUGAGAGGAUGAUCAGCCACACUGGGACUGAGACACGGCCCAGACUCCUACGGGAGGCAGCAGUGGGGAAUAUUGGACAAGGGGCGAAAGCCUGAUCCAGCACUGCCGCGUGAGUGAUGAAGGCCUUAGGGUUGUAAAGCUCUUUUACCCGGGAUGAUAAUAACAGUACCGGGAGAAUAAGCUCCGGCUAGCUCCGUG